UAAUACGGAGGGUGCAAGCGUUAUCCGGAAUCACUGGGUUUAAAGGGUGCGUAGGCGGCUUAGUAAGUCAGUGGUGAAAGGCUGUGGCUUAACCAUGGAAUUGCCAUUGAUACUGCGGAGCUUGAAUGAGGUUGAGGUUGGCGGAAUGUGACAUGUAGCGGUGAAAUGCUUAGAUAUGUCAUGGAACACCGAUUGCGAAGGCAGCUGACUGGACCUAAAUUGACGCUGAGGCACGAAAGCGUGGGGAGCGAACAGG
rnacentral:rRNA from 1 species